AUUGAACGCUGGCGGCAUGCUUUACACAUGCAAGUCGAACGGUAACAGGCCUUCGGGUGCUGACGAGUGGCGAACGGGUGAGUAAUGCAUCGGAACGUACCCAGAGGUGGGGGAUAACGCAGCGAAAGCUGUGCUAAUACCGCAUGUGAUCUGAGGAUGAAAGCGGGGGACCGAGCAGCAAUGUUUGGCCUCGCGCCUUUGGAGCGGCCGAUGUCGGAUUAGCUAGUUGGUGGGGUAAAGGCCUACCAAGGCGACGAUCCGUAGCUGGUCUGAGAGGACGACCAGCCACACUGGGACUGAGACACGGCCCAGACUCCUACGGGAGGCAGCAGUGGGGAAUUUUGGACAAUGGGCGCAAGCCUGAUCCAGCAAUGCCGCGUGCGGGAAGAAGGCCUUCGGGUUGUAAACCGCUUUUGGCAGGAACGAAACGGCGUCCGCUAAUACCGGGCGCUAAUGACGGUACCUGCAGAAUAAGCACCGGCUAACUACGUG
rnacentral:rRNA from 1 species